rnacentral:tRNA from 1 species
GCCUGGGUGGCUCAGUCGGUUAAGCCCCUGAUUUCGGCUCAGGUCAUGAUCUCAAUUGAGGAUUGUGGGUUCGGGUCCCACAUCAGGCU